CAUAUCUAUAUUUAUUUGCAUACACUCAUUAUUAUUUUCCAUUAGUUUCUGCGAACGUGCGUUGCAUGAUAAUACCAUCUCAAUUAUAUUGAACACUUGUAUAAAACAAAGAGUUGCUAUAUAUAGACGCAAUUAAUGUAAUAACAUUGAUGAAAGAUAAGUGUUUUGAAUCAAUAUACAUUUCAAAACAAAUAAUUAAGUUGUAAUUUUUCACUGGAGGAUUAGUUAGUAACGUUAGUAGUAAUAGACGUUCUCUUAGGUAGUUCAAUAGAAAUAGGAUUGGUAAUUAGUAAUGUUUGUAGUAAUUGUAAGGGGGGUAGUUCAUUGUUCGAUAGAAAUAUGAUUAGUAAUUAGUAAAGUUAGUAUAAUUAGUAAGGGUAUAAAAGUCGUUCAAUGUUUUGGGGCAAUUUUGGUCAACCAACAUUUAUGUUCGUGCUGUAAUGGUAAAUGACUAGAACGGAGUUUAAAAUGUUAACUUUACUCAUACGCACACACAUGUAUGUAUGCAAAUAGUAUUGGUGAUAGUGGAAGAAUUUAUUCUUAAGUGAUAAUGGAAGAAAAUGUCAAAGUGAUGGUUGAAUAGUUCAAUAGGGAGUAUAUCACGUCAAGGUUUUAUCAUUUGGAUAGUUUAAGGAAUUUGAGUUCUGAAAGUUGUGUAGAAAUGGAGUAAUAGGCGUCCCCAAAUGGAAGGGAAACAUCAUCACAUUAGUUGCAACAAAGGAUACGUAAUACGUGUUGAUAAAUUGUAUUUGUAUAUUAUGUUGGUUGUUGCCUUUUUUUUUUUCAUGUGUGAUGCUUGUUUGUUCUAGCUAUUUAAAGUUUUUAACUUUUAGAGGUUGAUUUUUGGCUGGUUAAUUUGAAAGUUACUUUGAUGGUCAUGGAGAUCAAAUAGGAAGAGUAAUUAUGAUCAGAAUUACAAUUCAAGGAGUAAUUAUGAUCAGAAUUACAUUUCAAGGCUUGAUUUGAAGUUCAGGAGUUUACAAGUGUUAAACUUUUUCUGCAUUUAGGUAUUGAAGAUGAACGUGGCGUAUUAAAGCUUCAUGUGGCUGCAUGUUGAUUCAAGUCUAGUCUUGUUAUUGUUAUAGCUUUAGGGCAAACACGUCCCCUUAAUCUUUUUAAGGUCUGGACUCUCGGAAUGACUAGAAAACAGAAAGGAGAGAGUUCUUGCAAUAGCAUAAGCUUUUUUCGAAUUAAUUGGUAGAAGCGUUUACUGGGAACAAAAGGAUGGUAUCAUUGCAAUAUUACCUAUCCACUUUACAGUUACCAGUUUCAAAAAAAAAAAAAAAAAAAUUACCUAUCCACUUGUGAGAUAUUGAUUAAAUGAACAUUGGAGAGGAUGAGAUGGUUUGGGCAUGUGAUGCGGAGAGAUGCAAAUGCCCCAGUGCGGAGGUGCGAGAGGUUGGCCAGCGACGGUUUCAGAAGAGGUAGAGGUAGGCCGAAGAAGUAUUGGGGGGAAGUGAUUAGACAGGAUAUGGCGCAUUUCCUGCUUACCGAGGACAUGACCUUAGAUAGGAGGGUAUGGAGGACUCAUAUUAGGGUAGAAGGCUAGUAGGUAGUUGCGUUUAUCCUUUCUUACGAGUAGUUAUGUUGCUCUAUAGUUCCUUGUCUCUUGAUUUCUACGAGUAUCUGUUGGUUUAUAAUGGCUUAUUUACUUUCAUUGUUUUCAUUUUCAUAAUUGCUUUGAUUUGUUUGCCCGUAUCUGACCUUUCUUAUGCUUUUUCUUGAGCCAAGGGUCUUCCAGAAACAGCCUCCCUACCUAAGGUGGGGGUAAGGUUUGCAUACACUCUACCCUCCCCAGACCCCACGUUGUGGGAUUCACUGGGUAUGUUGUUGUUGAACAUUGGAGAGGAUCACAUUUGUGCAUUUGUUGCUUCAAUUAGCUAGCUGAUGGGGCUUAUUUCUUGGCCGACUAUAUGCUCAACUAGACUUGUUCGCUUUUUUAAAUUUAAAGAGAAAAAGGGAUGUCAAGAAAACCUCGUCUCCUAUGUUUCGAUGUAGAAAUGACACUUCCCCUGUAGAUUCCCCAGAUAUCUUUUUGAACUUGGUUAGCUCCCUGACACUAGCAUACUUUUUUGAUGUAACAACGCUAACAAAGUUUUUUGCUUUCUACCAUUUUGUGAAUUUCUGCAUCUUCUUGAUGCCAACAAUGAAAGAUAUUAAUGCUUCAUCAAAAUAGAAAAAAAACUGUCGUCUUCCCAAUUUCCACUAGUCAAACUACUCCAGAUGCAAAGAUAUUAUUUCUAAGUUUUAAUGGGUACAACAUAUACUAAAUUGAGAAAUACAUCUCAAAAGUACAACACAUCUAGAAAGAUAUUGAGAGCUCGCUAGUAAGUACUUGGACCAUGUGACCUAAAAGGUGCAAGGUUUGCUGCUUUGGAGGGUUGGUUUGCCUUCUCAUCCAGCUUUAGAUCGGCCAGAUGGGCUUUUGCUUUGUUUACUCGGAGUUGUCAAUUCUCAUCCUUCCCCUUCCUUUACAUG